ACAACUGCAGCGAGAGAAGAGGCUGGCAGCAUGGGUGGCAGGAGGCUUGGCAGCCUCACAGGAUGCCUGCAAAUACCUUUCACUUAUGCAGUUUGGCAGUGCAGUGGUGCAUGGAGACAGUGUCUUGAGCCUGGCACCCACAGCCACUUAGGAAGUUGGAGUCCUGGAGAGGAGAACACAGAACGUGGACAACUAGCUGUCAAAUUGCAGUAAAAGUUGGUUCAGGAAAAUUGGAAGCUACCCAGAUGCCUACCAGUUGAGAUGAACCAUCCAGUCUCCUGCCUGGAGUAUUGAAGCCUGGCUACUGUGACUGUGGGGAAGGGAUUAAUGGUCUCAGCGUUCAAAGCUUCUAUUCUGGAAUAGAACAGCUAGCAUACUACCAAGACUUUUCAAGGAGCAAGAAUGGAGCUCCCUGGAGAACUGACUGAACAUGGCUUCAGAGGCAGUAUCCAUGUCACAUUUCAAAGGCCAGAUCUUUCCCAGGGCUUAAGCUGUUCCUUGGAUACUUUUGCUGAUGGUUUACACAUCUUCUUCCCACAUUAUAUUGUAACUUUCUU
rnacentral:lncRNA from 1 species